GGCCUGAUGGUCUAGUGGCAUGAUGCUCGCUUUGGGUGCGAGAGGCUCCAGGUUCGAUUCCCGGUCAGGCCC
rnacentral:tRNA from 1 species